rnacentral:lncRNA from 1 species
CCAUAGCAGCCGUGCAUCAAGAAAGAAAAAGAACCAAAAAGCUCUUCCAAUUUCUUCUUCAUUUCUUCAUCAAAUCUUCCACCAAAUCACACCAAAAUUUAACCACACUUAGCUAAACACUUGGAGAUCAUUUUAAGCUGCAAAAAGGGGGAGCUUUUCACGAUUUUUCUUGGCCAAGAGGGGACCAAAAAAUUCUGUCUUUGUUCAUCACACAAGUAGGUAACGAUCCGACCUUCGAAUUUUGGUUUAUGGAAGUAGAAUUAAACGUAUAAACUCUUGCAUGCAUGUGGGUAGUCUUGUUUACGAUGAAUUUUUGUUUGGUGGGCUCUAUGAACUCCCACUUUUGAUGGAAGGACUGAUUUGAUGAUUGAUGAUGAAAAUAAUGUUGGUUUAGUGCUUAUAUUGGUGGAUUAAUGUUGGGUUGUUGAUAGAAACUCAUGGAUGGUGCAAUGACCAAAAGUGACCAUUUUGCCCCUGGUUUGUUCGACCACUUUUGUGCAAAAUUUUAAGGUUCUAAUGGUUUGUUUAUGUUGUUUACAUGUUAUAUUGGUUGUGUAUAAAGUUUCAUUGAAAAAUAACAUGAUUUGAUCACCCAAAUGUCGGAAAUUCGAAAGCUUGAAAAUCUGGAAUUUGAAUCCCGUCACUGCCCAGGCAGUCUUCUUGUUUCGGCCAUAACUUGUUGCUCCGAUGUCGGAAUCGAGUGCCGUUUGUGGCACUGGAAAAUAGACAUUCCUAUCUUUCUGUUGGUAUAAAAUUCAUGUCCUGGUUUUACUUGAGCUAGCCAAACCAUUCAUUUGAAAUCCACUGUCCUGUUUCGUUGCUUCCUGGAAGGCAGCUCAUGAGCUGCAACUUAAUGCUCACGAACGAGCUGGUUAUGGACUGAUUUUGAAAAUGGUUUCUUCUGAGAAAAGGUAUCCUUAUGAGUUUAUUUUCCAAUACCACCAACCACGCUCAAUUCUGAGUUGAAUUGAGUGAUUUAUGAUCAAAGCUCGAAUCUGGUCUGGUGAAGGAAUACCUUACAUUUGGACAGAUUUGAACUAGCAAUGAUUUGGGACUUGUUAUCCGAAAUUUCUUGGUGUAAAUCACCGAUCAAAUGUACCUUGGACAUAUUUUAGACAUUACUUACUGGAAUAAAUCAUGUUUGAGUCGUUUCUUGGCCAAAUGUUUGGAAAACGGCAAAACGGAAGCUCAAAGGCAGCUUAGCCUUCGAACUUCUUGCGAUUUCAACGGUUUUGUUAACUGACUUCCCGUUCAUAUUUUUCUAUGAAAUUUGGCAAGGGAGUGGCCCUUAUAUGGUAGUAUAUUCAUACCAAAUUUGGUGCCAUUUUGAGUCCAUUUUACUACCAAAAUAAAGUCCCAAAGUUUGGAACUCAAAUCUGGAAACUAGCUUAACAGUUUCGUUUUUCCUCCAAUUUUGAGCGACCGUAUCUCGGUGCUCAAAACUCCGAUUCUUGAUCUGUUUGCUCUGUCCUAAACUUUACUUGCAACUCUAAAUGAGUUAUAAAUUUUGGAGGCUGGUUUGCAACGUAUGAAUUUUACCGAAUUUCCAAAGUUGGCGAAAAACCAACCUCAAAACUGUCUUGCAAGUUUAAAACAGUAACUUUGAGCAAAUUUUGAAUGCCUGCCACUUGGAAUCAUGGAAAACUGUAUUCUAGGAACUUUUAGUAUAUUGGAAGUAGUUUCCAAUGGUACCAAAUUUUCCAAUUUUGGACUUGUAGAGAGUGAGAUACGAUUUUUCAAAGUAAGUGUAACAAAUCUGAAAAUUUCUAACUUCAAGCAAAUGGAGUUUUGCAAACUCUCUCUUUUUCCUUUGAUAUCACUGGAUCGUUUUACACUCGAUUUCAAGGAUGAAAAUCAGAUUUUGCUUGUGUUUUAAAACCUCACUUUUGAGCCUCGAUUUACGAGUAAUUAAGGCUCAUUCUCGUGAAAUUUUCUUAGAUUGUACAAUGGUACAAUCUUCCUUAUUAAUUGGGAUGUAUAAGUGAUAGUUUAUUAUUAAAUGCUCAGGCGCUCAACAGGAUCUUCCAGAGGAUCUCACGGGAGACGCCUAAAUCAUCAUUUGAACUUGCUACUUGAAUCACUGUGAGUGUCAAGUGCAUGAGUUUGUUGCUAAAUGGUUAAUUGGUUCUUAUCCGUUAUGUGAAUUUGAAAAUUUGAGACGAGUGUGUACUUUAUCGCACUCGCUCUCUUUCGAAUGAACUUAUAUUUGAAUUUUGCUAUGUGAAUUUAUAUUUGACUUGUACAUAGUAAUGUGGAUGUGAUUCGUAUUUGUGAUUCAUAUAUGUGAUCCGUAUUUGUGAUUCCUAUUUGGAAUCGUCGAUUUGAGCGUUGCUCAUCGACUUAUAUCCGUAUUCAUAUUUGCAUUCAUAUUCGUAUUCAGGGGACGCCCAAACUCAUUGGCUAACUUUGCGAAUCGAGCCAGCAUGGGCUUGGUCGACAAGCUUAGCAAACCAUGAGAUAUUCGUAGAGCAUGAUCUAUUGGAGAGAUCUUGCUCGGCAUUACUAGUGCAGUAUUGCCAUGAUAUACUCGAGUAUUAUUAAAAAAAAAAUUUGAUGAGCGGACCCGGUAAGGGGGUGUAACGGUGACGGGAUUCGAAGAAAAGUGGUGUAUCUACGAAUUCGAUACUUAUGUGGUUGGCGGAGUGUCAACGUGAGAUGUGAUCAAGACUUUGACUCGACUACGUGGAAUUUAGCUCCUGAGAGCUACAGUAUCCUUGAAUUGU